UACGGAGGGUGCAAGCGUUAUCCGGAUUCACUGGGUUUAAAGGGUGCGUAGGUGGGUCUGUAAGUCCGUGGUGAAAUCUCCGAGCUUAACUUGGAAACUGCCAUGGAUACUAUAGGUCUUGAAUACUGUGGAGGUCAGCGGAAUAUGUCAUGUAGCGGUGAAAUGCUUAGAUAUGACAUAGAACACCAAUUGCGAAGGCAGCUGGCUACACAAAUAUUGACGCUGAUGCACGAAAGCGUGGGGAUCAAACAGG
rnacentral:rRNA from 1 species